UUCAGAAGUGCUAUUCAAUAGCCAUGGCCCUGCCCUGCCCCUCUGGCUCUUCCCGUAAGAAAACAAGCAGCAGGCAUUGCCGGAGGGUCUUCAUCCUCAAGACCUUCACACCUCUUGAAGACCCCACUCCUGGGGCCACCACAUAAGGAUUUCAACGUGAAUUUUGGUGCAUUGCAUACCAGGCAGGAAGGAGAUGAAGCAGGAUCUUGCCUGAAGCCACUCAGCUGGUCUGUAGCCAUGCCAAAUCCUAGAUCAGGAAACUUCAGCCCAGGAGACUUGAAGAGUGCAGGACAGGCCCCAUCUCGGAGAAAAUGGGACAGGAAGGAAGGCAGCCCAUGCUGGAGCUUGGGUACCAGGACACAGAGAAGGGCCAGCUGCUGUCAGAACAGAGCCUGGAUUCAUCAGAGGAGCACCCAGUGUGUAGAAUGAGGUCUCCUGAUCUUUAUAGGACUUGCUGCUCUUUUAGAAUAAAUCCAACUCCUUUCAUGUA